UACAGAGGGUGCGAGCGUUAAUCGGAAUUACUGGGCGUAAAGCGUGCGCAGACGGUCACGUAAGUCGGGUGUGAAAGCCCCGGGCUCAACCUGGGAAUUGCAUUCGAGACUGCGUGGCUAGGGUGCGGAAGAGGGAAGCGGAAUUUCCGGUGUAGCGGUGAAAUGCGUAGAUAUCGGAAGGAACACCAGUGGCGAAAGCGGCUUCCUGGUCCAGCACCGACGUUCAGGCACGAAAGCGUGGGGAGCAAAC
rnacentral:rRNA from 1 species